rnacentral:tRNA from 2 species
GCGCCUAUAGCUCAGUUGGUAGAGCAGCUGACUCUUAAUCAGCGGGUCCUAGGUUCGAAUCCUAGUGGGCGCA